UACAGAGGCCCCAAGCGUUACUGAGAAUCACUGGGUUUAAAGGGUGCGUAGGUGGCGCGUUAAGUCCGUUGUGAAAUCCCUGGGCUCAACCCAGGAAUUGCUUCGGAUACUGGCGUGCUUGAGGCUAGUAGGGGUCACUGGAACUGACGGUGGAGCGGUGAAAUGCGUAGAUAUCGUCUGGAACGCCGAAGGUGAAAACAGCUCGCUGGGGCUGCGCUGACGCUGAGACACGAAAGCCAGGGGAGCGAACGGG
rnacentral:rRNA from 1 species